CAGGACGAACGCUGGCGGCGUGCCUAAUACAUGCAAGUCGAACGGUCUUUCUAUGGAAGCUUGCUUCCACUGAGAAGAUAGUGGCAACGGGUGAGUAACACGUGGGUAACCUGCCCAUAAGAAGGGGGAUAACAUCCGGAAACGGGUGCUAAUACCGCAUAGUUUCCUUGAUCGCAUGAUCGGGAAAGGAAAGACGGCCUUUGUGCUGUCGCUUAUGGAUGGACCCGCGGCGUAUUAGUUAGUUGGUGAGGUAACGGCUCACCAAGACGAUGAUACGUAGCCGACCUGAGAGGGUGAUCGGCCACAUUGGGACUGAGACACGGCCCAAACUCCUACGGGAGGCAGCAGUAGGGAAUCUUCCGCAAUGGACGAAAGUCUGACGGAGCCAACGCCGCGUGAACGAAGAAGGCCGUGAGGUUGUAAAGUUCUUUUCGGGAGGGGGAACAACCGUGGCAGGGAAUGGCCGCGGGAUGACGUGAAUCCCGGAAUAAGCCCCGGCUAACUACGUGCCAGCCGCCGC
rnacentral:rRNA from 1 species